CAGUCGCGGGAAUACGUAGGUGGCAAGCGUUGUCCGGAAUUAUUGGGCGUAAAGGGCUCGCAGGCGGUUUCUUAAGUCUGAUGUGAAAGCCCCCGGCUCAACCGGGGAGGGUCAUUGGAAACUGGGAAACUUGAGUGCAGAAGAGGAGAGUGGAAUUCCACGUGUAGCGGUGAAAUGCGUAGAGAUGUGGAGGAACACCAGUGGCGAAGGCGACUCUCUGGUCUGUAACUGACGCUGAGGAGCGAAAGCGUGGGGAGCAAAUGGGAUUAGAUACCCCUGUAGUCCCUGUCUCUUAUACACA
rnacentral:rRNA from 1 species